rnacentral:rRNA from 1 species
UACGUAGGCAGCAAGCGUUGUUCGGAGUUACUGGGCGUAAAGGGUGUGUAGGCGGUUUUUUAAGUUUGCUGUGAAAUCUCCCGGCUUAACCGGGAGGGUGCGGUGAAUACUGAGGGACUAGAGUACGGGAGAGGAAAGUGGAAUUCCUGGUGUAGCGGUGAAAUGCGUAGAUAUCGGGAGGAACACCUGCGGCGAAGGCGGCUUCCUGGACUGCAACUGACGCUGAGGCGCGAAAGCUAGGGGAGCAAACAGG